AGAUUAGCAAGAAGCCCUGCAGUUACUGGAGCGUAGCGAAGGGUUUUGAGCAGGGGAUCAGCACCUGCUUUUCGGCUUUCAUUGGAGUUUCUCUUCAGCCAUCAGAAGAGUAAAGGAAAACCAGAAACUGCCAUCAGAAUGAGCAGCAUGAUUAUACAUCAGUAACAAGCAAAUCGCUUGUCAAAAAGUAAGUUUUCUUGAGACUUCCUUGGAAAGAUCAGUUCCCUGAUGUGGUUCACGUCACAGCACGAGUGGUAAGAACUUGGGCUGUGGUCUUCUGAUCAAUGAAAAUGGAAUGUCCUUCAUCACAGAAGUUGAUGGGAGAUUUCUCUUUUCCUUGGCAAUUCUGUGGAAGAUCCAUAUUUCACCAAAGUUGUACAGAAACCUUUCAACACAGAUGUGAUAUUUUGACCUACAGAACGAUCCAUGUACUUGGUGGCACAGCAGAUUCCUCUUAUUUUUCAGUCUGAAAGAAGUCUCAUGAGCAGCUGGAAAUAUCAGGUUUUUACAAAUAUUCAAAAUUUGCUAAUGAUCUUGGGAAGAUCUUCAACCAGAUUAUUCUUAUGCCACAAAUCUCAGCUAGCGAGUUCUGCUCAACAAAAUAUUUACAUAUGCACUUAGCUUUAUAAAUAUAAAACAAGAACUUUGCCUUUCCUAGCCAUGUUUCUUUAACUAGAUUCACUGGGUCGAGACCUAACAGAGGCUGGUGGAGGAGGAGCUAAAGCAAAAAAACUAGAAAGUUGGGUUAUUCAUGGUCGGAUCUUGCAAACAAAAUUGUUUUUAAAAAGUUUGGCAUCAAUGAAUAUGGUUAUCUCUAGAUGCAACAAAUGUCAGCAUGACUGCUCAUAGAUCAGAGUACUUGGGAUCCUUUCAGAGGGCCUCCAACUUGCAUUGUAGUUCGGCAUUUUCUUGCAUUCAUAUACUCACAACAUCUUUAAGCUAUUUAAAUCCAGAUUAGUUUUCUCUUGAUCCUUAAUUAUAUCCCUUCAAAACAAAUUUCCAUCUGUUCUUCUUUAAAGAUUUCAACAUCUUAUCUUGGAAAAGAAGCAGAACAAAAUGCAGUCUAUUUCCUUGAUAAUUAAAUAACAACGAUUUAUAAAUAAAUAAAUAAAUGUAUCUUUCCUUUAUAAAAUGUAUCUUUCCAGGUUCAGAGAAGCUGCACUUCCUCCAUUCUCAGGAGAUUUACAAAUAAAAAACCAAGACAUUUGUGAUGUUUAUGAAACUUCAGUUUUGAUAACAGAUAGAUACAGUUUUUUCUCAUACUGUUGGCUUUUGUUUGGACCUAAAUUGAGAACAAGUGUGUCUAAAUACAGUCAGCAGAAUCUGCAAAGAUUGAUCUUAGUUAUUAGCCUGGUUGUUUCCAGAUUCCCUUUCAAAUAUAUAUCUUCAAAAUAUGUCUAACUUGUAAAGAAAUAUAGGAAUCUGGAAGGUAAUAGUUCUUUUCACACUGUGGACACCAAAUAACUUCUUUUAUUUUAUAACUGCUAUAACUUGCCCCUCCCUAACAAAAAGCUUCUGACAGAAUACAUAUUUAUGUAAGUUACAGAAAAAUAAAAUAUGUAUUUCAGUG
ensembl:lncRNA